rnacentral:lncRNA from 1 species
GCGUGAAGCUCUAGUUCCAUAACUUCUGGGAAGCAAUGGCCAGUCUCAGACUUAAGGAUUAAGAGGAAUAUUCCUAAUGAUUCCAGAAUCGGAUACUAAGAAACACGGACACUGCCAGGGAGGACACUGUCUGAGCACUCUUAUUCUGCAUUUGAAGAAAUACAGAAACAAUGGCAAAAAAUCAUUUGCUCAGAAUUACAGUAAAGAAUCUGCAAGUGUUGGCAAGCAUAACUUUGAUUAUUAUUUGAUUACAUGAAUUAUGAAAUGCAUGUAAGUUGAAGUUUUAGAGAGACAAAUAAAUACACAGUAUAAUUGGGGGUUCUUAAUAUUAAGGUCCCUUGUCUUUAGUAUCUGAUAGUUUCGCAUCUCCUUCCUCAUGAGUCCAUGGCAGAAAGUGUCGCUCUGUCUUUUCCUGGCUCCUGUGGGUUAGAACCAUUUAUGAAGUACAUAUCUCUCUAUAGUAGCUCCCUAUGAUGUUUUGAUAAGAAGCUAUUCUGGGACCUUCAGCUUUUCUUCUGUUACUACCUGUUGAGGUGAGAGCAAAGGAGAUAGAGACAGCAAAGGAGGCAAGAAGUGGUCUACUCUCUUUUCCAUCUUUCACCCAAGGAUAAGUACUAACCACAGCAGAGCUUAUAUCUGGAUAUAUAUUAAGGAUAUUUUCCUAAAGACCUGAAGAAAACAAAACAGCAUAACAUUAGAGCCCAGAUAAAUUUUGAACAAGAUAAAGAUUUGAUCUUGGAGCCCUUGGGGUUCAGCUAUAACCUAUCUCUUCUGAGAUGAUUUAGUUAUCCUCCCUCCAGGUGGAGGCAGCUUCAUGACCAUUCCUCCUGGAUAUAUGUGCAUUUGGGGGAAGACCCUUAUUCCAUCACAAAGCACUAGAUAGGAGUAGAGUCCUGGCUCAUCCACUCUAAUGCUGAAUUCCCCAGUGUCCUCUUUUCCAUUCUACCUCUCACAUGCUCUGACAUUGGCACCCUGUCAGCCUGUCCCUUAAUACCAUAAACUACUAUUGGUACAUUUUCCAAAGUUUAAGCUUACUUAGAAUAUGUAUGAUUGUUUUCUAACCUGGUUCAAUUCCUUUUCAUGAAUUUGUAUUCAUUAUUAGGUCAAGAUAAAUACACAUUCUUCCUGUAGUUUUCCAGGUCUUGUUUUCUGAACUCGGGAGCAAUUGUUUAAAAAUUAAUACAGUGACAGUGAUAAUCUGUGUAAUGUGAUAUUCAAAAGCAAAAUAUGCAUUUUCAAAAUGACAGAUUUUGUAGCCUUCACCAUAGUUGUAACGUUUUAACAAUUUGAAGCCAAUUUCAAUGAGUACCCUAAUUUCUCCAAAUAUUUAGCAAGAAGAGUUUUCAUAAGCAAAGAGUCUAGGCCAAGGAAAAUUAACUUUCCUCUUUCUCACACUUGACUGAAUGUAACUUCCCUUAGCACAUAAAACUGUGUGCAGCAAAAGUUCUACAAGCUCCGGGGUCAAGGGGAACAAUAGGUUUUCUGUGUCUCCAGAUAAGUUGACUCAACCCGAUCAUAUUCAAUUCAAUUUUCAUUUAUUGAUCGUCCAUCGGUUUCAGGUACUAAGUGCUAGACAUAAAAAUGACCAGAGAAAAAAGAGAAUUUUGGAAUGAGAGCAGAAUGGAUUAUUUUCUUCUUUCUUUCUUCUGGUUCAAAUAGUAUAUCUCCUGCACAUGACAGUUUUCCUGUAACCUGGUGUAGCACUUUGAAAAUCCAGUAAAGCAGAAGUGACAGCGCUGUAACUCAUGAACUCCACUGAGAUUGCUAUGGUGUGACAAACCUGUCUCAGCUGUCUGUAUAUAAAUUAGGAAUUCCUAAAGCUUUCAAUACGAAAGUUGCUGUGAACUGCUUCAUUUCAAACUGAAAGCAUUGAAAUGCUAAUUAGGAAGCAUUUUUUUUUCCUUCAAAGUAACUUUAAAUAACUUUUCGGGAAAGUAAACACAAUUAGUCUAUUUUUAUGGGACAGAUUUCUCCCUAUGAGAGGAGAAUGGCCAUUUUUGUGAACUACUGUUGGAUAUGACAUAUAUAUUUUGGAAGUCCCUUUCAAUCGUUGGAUUUGGCAGAUAAAAUGUUUAUACCGAUUGUAUUUUAUUGAAAGCCAUUUUAUGCAAAUUAAUUUAACACAGAAUUUAAUGAUUUUGGAUGCUGUGAGAUGAGGGGAAAUAACCUUUAAAAUUAACACUGCAAUUUUCGUCCUCUGAUUGUCUCAGCCUCCCCCAGAAUAGAAAAUGCUUAUUCUCUUGGAGAGAGAAAUAAAUUUAAUCUUUACACGAUUUAUACAAUAGAAGACUAAAAUGCUUGGGGGUGGUGUUAAGAUAUUGUAAACUACUAAGAGUUUGAUGACAAAGAGAUUGCGCUCAGAAGAAGGUGAUGAAAAAGUGUUUUAUUAAUAUAUGCUGUAUGGAAUAGGAAUGAUUCAUGUGGAGUUGACGCUCAAAUCCUAAAACUCUUAGCGGCAGGAGUCAUCUUAAGGUAAAACCAUAAUUUCUAUAAACGAUA